GGGAACGUGCCCUCCGGUCUGGGAUAACCCUGGGAAACUAGGGCUAAUACCGGAUACGUGCUUUGGUAGAAAGGUUUACUGCCGGAGGAUCGGCCCGCGUCUGAUUAGCUUGUUGGUGGGGUAACGGCCUACCAAGGCGACGAUCAGUAGCUGGUCUGAGAGGAUGAUCAGCCACACUGGGACUGAGACACGGCCCAGACUCCUACGGGAGGCAGCAGUGGGGAAUAUUGGACAAUGGGCGCAAGCCUGAUCCAGCCAUGCCGCGUGAGUGAUGACGGCCUUAGGGUUGUAAAGCUCUUUUCUCCGGGACGAUAAUGACGGUACCGGAGGAAUAAGCCCCGGCUAACUUCGUGCCAGCAGCCGCGGUAAUACGAAGGGGGCUAGCGUUGCUCGGAAUCACUGGGCGUAAAGGGCGCGUAGGCGGCGUUUUAAGUCGGGGGUGAAAGCCUGUGGCUCAACCACAGAAUGGCCUUCGAUACUGGGACGCUUGAGUAUGGUAGAGGUUGGUGGAACUGCGAGU
rnacentral:rRNA from 1 species